AGAUUGAACGCUGGCGGCGUGCCUAACACAUGCAAGUCGAGCGGUAACAGGUGUAGCAAUACAUGCUGACGAGCGGCGAACGGGUGAGUAAUGCUUCGGAAUCUGCCCAACAGUGGGGAACAACUAGCCGAAAGGUUAGCUAAUACCGCAUACGACCUACGGGUGAAAGCAGGGGAUCGCAAGACCUUGCGCUGAUGGAUGAGCCGAAGUCGGAUUAGCUAGUUGGUAGGGUAACGGCCUACCAAGGCGACAAUCCGUAGC
rnacentral:rRNA from 1 species